GCGCCCAUAGCUCAGUGGAUAGAGCAUUGGUCUUCGGAACCAACGGUCGGGGGUUCGAAUCCCUCUGGGCGCA
rfam:Chloroflexi bacterium OLB15 TZ15_CFX003CONTIG000059, whole genome shotgun sequence.